GAUGAACGCUGGCGGCGUGCCUAAUACAUGCAAGUCGAGCGAACGGACGAGAAGCUUGCUUCUCUGAUGUUAGCGGCGGACGGGUGAGUAACACGUGGAUAACCUACCUAUAAGACUGGGAUAACUUCGGGAAACCGUAGCUAAUACCGGAUAAUAUUUUGAACCGCAUGGUUCAAAAGUGAAAGACGGUCUUGCUGUCACUUAUAGAUGGAUCCGCGCUGCAUUAGCUAGUUGGUAAGGUAACGGCUUACCAAGGCAACGAUGCAUAGCCGACCUGAGAGGGUGAUCGGCCACACUGGAACUGAGACACGGUCCAGACUCCUACGGGAGGCAGCAGUAGGGAAUCUUCCGCAAAGGGCGAAAGCCUGACGGAGCGACGCCGCGUGAGUGAUGAAGGUCUUCGGAUCGUAAAACUCUGUUAUUAGGGAAGAACAUAUGUGUAAGUAACUGUGCACAUCUUGACGGUACCUAAUCAGAAAGCCACGGCUAACUACGUG
rnacentral:rRNA from 1 species